rnacentral:pre_miRNA from 1 species
UCUUAAAAAUUUCAUCCAUUUUUAUUGUUAAAAAUUAGUGUAGAUGACUAAAAAAUCAGAUAGUUACACAUGGCGUGCCAUGGUAACUCUUGCUAACAUAUAGUUGUCGAUUUUUAACUAUAAAAAUAAAUGAAAUUUUUUACA